GAACGAGAGUCGCAGUACGUCAAGUGGAAACGUGCAGUUCAAAGAUGCAUGAAGUGGGAGGAAAACUCAGGCCAGUCAUAAAUUAAUAAGUCAGUAAAAUAUUUUUUAUGCAUAUUGAUACGUCUACGGUUAUGCCUUAUAAUAUCAACAUUAUAUUGAAAAAGCAGUGGAAACAAAUUUUAUACGAAAUGUUCUGUAUUUUUGAUAAAAUAUAAUAGAGAUUUUGCAAUUAAGAAAUUGUUUUAAGUGUUCAUUGAUUUAAAGAAAAUCUGACGCGAGAGAAUUGGGAAAAGAGCAACAGGCUUGGAGCAUGUCUAGUUAUGAAAGAAAACUGCUUAUUUUUUCCAUAGGCGUCAAGAGAUCGAUAAGUGGGGGGACCAUAUUCAUAUAUUCGUGUUCUAUAUUAUUAAUUUCUUUUGAAAUCGAUUGUUUUUGUAAGGUCUGUGAACACGAAUAUAUGAAUAUGGUCCCCCCACUUAUCGACCUUUUGACGCCUAUGAUUUUUUCUAUACUGAUAUCUAUAUAGAAGGCAAGGUUUGCAAGAAAAUUUGUCGAGAAUAACUCGUCACAUUCGGCAUUCUUAAAGUGGAAAUAUAACGGUUCAGUGACGUCAGCUGACCCGCCUGACACUUCCAGUGAAUUCGCAAAUUUAAUCAAUUUUGCAUAGAUGCAGAUUACUAAUAUAU